rnacentral:rRNA from 1 species
UGAGGAAUAUUGGUCAAUGGACGGAAGUCUGAACCAGCCAUGCCGCGUGAAGGAUGAAGGCGUUCUGCGUUGUAAACUUCUUUUAUCUGGGAAGAAACCACAGAUUUCUAUUUGUGUUGACGGUACCAGAUGAAUAAGCACCGGCUAACUCCGUGCCAGCAGCCGCGGUAAUACGGAGGGUGCGAGCGUUAUCCGGAUUUACUGGGUUUAAAGGGUGCGUAGGCGGGCUAUUAAGUCAGAGGUGAAAUCUCCGGGCUCAACCUGGAAACUGCCUUUGAUACGAUUAGCCUUGAAUUAUGUUGAGGUGGGCGGAAUAUAUCAUGUAGCGGUGAAAUGCUUAUAUAUGUUAUGGAACACCGAUUGCGAAGGCAGCUGGCUAAACAUAUAUUGACGCUGAUGCACGAAAGCGUGGGUAGCGAACA